rnacentral:rRNA from 1 species
GAUGAACGCUAGCGGAAGGCUUAAUACAUGCAAGUCGAGCGGUAGGUGGCUUCGGCCAUUGAGAGCGGCGCACGGGUGAGUAACGCGUACAUGACCUGCCUGUCAGAAGGGGAUAGCCCUGGGAAACUGGGAUUAAUACCCUAUGGUAUUGAUAUUAUGAAUGAUAUCAAUUAAAGUUGAGGCGCUGACAGAUGGAUGUGCGUCUGAUUAGCUAGUUGGUAGGGUAACGGCCUACCAAGGCGACGAUCAGUAGGGGCGUGAGAGCGUGGUCCCCCACACGGGUACUGAGACACGGACCCGACUCCUACGGGAGGCAGCAGUAAGGAAUAUUGGUCAAUGCCCGCAAGGGUGAACCAGCCAUUCCGCGUGGAGGAUGAAGGCCCUAUGGGUUGUAAACUUCUUUUAGAUGGGAAGAAAAUGCUAGAUGUAUCUGGUACUGACGGUACCAUCAGAUAAGCACGGCUAACUCCGUGCCAGCA